GUGCUUGUUUCAGCAGUACAUAUACUAAAACUGAAACAAUACAGAGGAGAUUAGCAUGGUUCCUGUGAAAGGAUGGCAUGCAAAUUCGUGAAGCCUCCAUAUUAUUU